rnacentral:rRNA from 1 species
AUUGAACGCUGGCGGCAGGCCUCACACAUGCAAGUCGAGCGGAGCGGCGGACGGGUGAGUAAUGACUAGGAAUCUGCCUGGUAGUGGGGGAUAACGUCCGGAAACGGGCCCUAAUACCGCAUAGUAUCAGAUGAGCCUAGGUCGGAUUAGCUAGUUGGGGGGGUAAAGGACUACCAAGGCGACGAUCCGUAACUGGUCUGAGAGGAUGAUCAGGCACACUGGAACUGAGACACGUUCCGGAAUCCUACGGGAGGCAGCAGUGGGGAAUAUUGGACAAGGGGCGAAAGCCUGGUCCAACCAGGCCGCGUGUGUGAGGAAGGGCUUCGGAUUGUAAAGCACUUUAAGUUGGGAGGCGUUACCAACAGAAUAAGCACCGGCUAACUUCGUGCCAGCCGCCGCGGUAAUAC